UACUCUGGAGUCAGAAGUGAAGUGAAUUUUGAUUUUCUACCAAGAGUGGUACAGCUAUUUAUAAAAUGGCCUACUACAUUUUUUUUUUUUUUUUUUGCUUUGGCAGAGAUAAAGAAUUAAACUAUGUACACUUUUAAAUUUGGAUUUAAAUUAAGCACUCUGUAAUAAAUAGGUAACUUUUGAGUUUUGCCUUGAUCAUUAAUAUUGUAGUUUUAGAAAUAACACUUUUAGUGCUAUUUUUCCACUUUUAUUUCUUUUUAUUUUCUCUAGUUUGAGAAUAACCUAGCAAGCUUCUUGGGUCUCUGUGAAUGCACAACAUUUACUAAUGCUUACUAUAUUUUUCUGCAUAUCUUAAUUAUAUCUUUCUAUGUUUGAGUUCCUCAACACUUUCCACAGUUUGUCAUUCAUUAAUUUAUUCAUUAAAUCAAUGUGUUUAUUGAAUGUUGAUUGAUCCAGACAUGGUCCUAUAUGUUAAAGCUACAAUAAGGAAAAAAAAUGGACAAAAGGCCGUGCAGUCAAGGAGUGCAUAUUCUAGUAGAAUGAAAAAGACAAUAAACAAAAAUGUACCAGAAAAUUACAUAGCUACAAACGCUAUGGAAGCAAGGAAGAGAAGAGGGAUUGUCAAGGUCAGGGGCAGGGGUGAAAUAUUAAGUUGGUUGGCAGGGAAACAUUCAUUGAAAAGGUAACGUUCUAGCAAACACAUGAAGAAGAUGAGAGAGUGAGCCAUGCUCGUCUCUGGGAAAAGUGCAUUCCGGGAAGAGGAAACUACAAGUGCAAAGGUCUUGAGGCUGAAAUGUGCUUGGUUCAUUUGAAGGGAGCAGAGCAGUCCACGUGGCUGGAAGAGAGUGAGUUAGAGAUGAGAAAGAGGCAAGAGAGUCAGGGAGGUGAGAGGUGAGAGGGUGGUGUCAGAGGUUACAAGGCUGUUGGAAAGAUGUUGGCUUUCACUCUGAGUGAGAUGGGGAACCAUUCCAGAGUUUUCAAGAGAAGCUUGACAGGAUCUGACUUGUGUUUUAAAAUGGUCAUUUUUGGACACUACCAACAGAAUCGUCUAGCAGGGCCAGGGGAGAAACAGGGAGACCAGAUAGGAAUCUGCAGAUGGGGUCUGGGCCAGGGUGCUCACAUGGAGAAGUGGUCAGAUCUAUUGAUGGACCGGAUUUAAGAUAGAGAGCAGAGCCCAGCAUGGUAGAUGGUUUUAAAUAUUUUAGUUUCCCUCCACGUAGAGUCCCUUCCUGUGAGAGGACAAUACACCUCUGCCCUAUUGAAAAUGGGAGGCCACGCGACUUGCUUAAGCAAUAAAAUGUGGUCAGAAGCUUUAAGAGGCAGCACUUGGUUUGUGUGUCCUUUUUCCUUCUGCCACAAAGCUAGAGAUAUUACAGAUACAGGAUGCUCUGUCGGCCUUGUUCCUGGAGUAAAACUGAUGUGGGUGACAUGCAGAGGAUAUGUAGGGGGAAAGAAACUUUGUUAUGGGAAGUUGGUAGGAUGUUCAGGUUGUUUAUUACUGCAGCAGAACCCAGCUUAGCCUAACUAAUACAGGUGUGGUUGGCAUUACCCGAGAUGGAGAUGUCUGCUAGAAGAGCAGGCUUGGAUGUGUAUGGAGAGUCCGGGAGUUCAGCUUAGAAACAUGAGACUUGAGAGUCUAUUAGACAUCCAAGUGCAGCUGUCAAGUAGCUAGGUGGAUAUAAAGGGCUGGAGUUGGAAGAAAAGAUCUAGGGUAAAGAUAUACACUUGGGAGUCAUCACUCUGAGAUUGAACAAAACUACUAAGGGAGUGAGUAGAUGUAUCCCAAGCCUAGGAACUGAGCUCUGGAGUAUUCCAGCAAGUAACAGAUGAGACUGGGAAGGAGCAGGCAGUGAGUCAGGAGGGAGACUAGGAGAGUGUGCUGUCCUGGAAGCUGAGGGAACAAAGUAUCUCAGGGAUGAGCAUCUGUGUCAUGUGCUACUGAUAAAUCAAGUGAGGUCAGGACUGAGAACUGACCUUGGGAUGUAGCAGUGCUGAAGUCCUGAUGACCUUGACAAGAGCAGGUUAGGUGGAGUGGUCUGUAGGAAAGCCUAGAAGAAACGGUUUCAAGAGAGAAUGGUAGGAUAAGAGUGAGAAAAGUGUAGAUAACUCUUUCAAGGAGUGUUCCUGUAAUGGAGAGCAGAGAAGUGAUAGCUGAGCAGGGAAAUGGGGUUGAAAAGUUGUGGGAUUUUUUUGUUUUGUUUUUUGGUGGAUGGGUAAUAUGGGCGAAAUGAAAGUUUGCUAAUGGAAUGAUCAAAGAUGGAGGAAAACAACUGAUGAGGCAGAACAGAGAGGGGAGAACUGCUGGAGAGAUGUUGUUUAAUAGGCCAGCAGAGAUAGGAUGUGGUACCCAAAUGGAGAUGUUGGUCUUUGACAGGACCACAUGCAGUUCAUUUACAGGAAAAGCAUACGGGGAAAUAGCAUUAAUAUGCGGAUAUAGAUGCAGGUACACAAGGGUAGGGUGAGAACUUGUGGAACUUCUGAUUGCUUUUUUGUUGUUGUUGUUUUGUUUUUUUUCCCCAUUAAAACUGAGGUCAUCCACUGAGAGUGAGGAUGGGGAAAGAGGUGCUGGAGAUUUGACAUAGUUGUGUAUUUUUCACCAUCCAUGUUCAACUGGAUAUGAGAUAGGGGUGGAGUGAUGGAAAGAUGCAUUUAGGCAUGGUUAGAGAUUUUCCUAGCAAAUCCAACAAGGCAAAGGUGGAUGGAGUGUUUGAGAGUAUAUUCAGAGGAGUAAUUACAAUGUCCAGACAUGGAUUGUUUUUUAGCUGGGUAAAGAGAGAUGUGAGGACCUGAGGACACCGAGAAGCAGUGGAAAGGUGGUACUGUGAUUGGAUUGGGGAUGUCAGUAGUAGAAGGAAUAAACUGCAAAACCAGAAGCUGUUAACCAGAGAAUGGGCUGCUUUAAAUUGAGAUUCUAGAAAGGCUGCAAUAAUCGGCAAUGGCCAGGUCUAGGGUGUACCUAUGGAAAUGAGAGGGCUGUAGGACAGGAGCUUGGAAGUUUUUGACUCUGAAGUUGCUCUAGUUAACUCAAAUUCUUUUCUUAAGCAUUUCUUCUUAUUGAAACUCCUCAAUUAAACUCACAUAUAGUGGCUUUCAAAUUAUCAUAGCAGAUCUCACAAUUUAGUUAGAUUAAUGAUUGAAGCAUAAUGAGGAAUCACCUUGGCUUACAUUAGAUUUAUAUAAAAUGAAAAUUUACAAAGUCAUAUUGAAAAAGGAAGGAGUUUGUUGGGCAUUACUUCAAUAAUUAGGAUGUGUUCAUAUCAAAGAUGACCUAGUCAUUGCUUAAAAUCCCUGAAUAUAUUAGAUGAUUAAAAAUUGGUUAUUUGUUCAAUAUUUGGACUAAUACUCUCUUUAUAAAUUAUUACCUUGGAAAUCACCACCUCACCAUUGUCUAUUGAAUUAUUGAUAUUCUUAAGAUAUUGGUUAAUAUUGUUGUAGUCACUAAUGUUGUUAUUGUGCUGUGGAAAUCAGAGAGAUACUUAAUUAUCAAAAAAUGUGAAUGUGUUGUUUAUCUCAAACAUUGGAGAAAGUCCUGUUUUAUACUUGACAAAUCAUAGAAAUAUAAGUUAACUUUGAAACAUCAGGGCUGCAAGUCAAUUUGGAAUGCUUAGAAAAAGCUUGUCAUAAUCAUUGAAUUUAUCUGAAAAAAUGAUCACAAAUAAAGUGUGAGAUUAAAAAUAAGCCUUGUGCUAAGCAGAAAAUAUGGUUAACAAUCCUAACCUAACUGAUUUUAUGUCAAUCUUUUAAAUUGACAUUUAAUUCAUAUAAAUCUCAUACAAUCCCAAAUUUUGGAUUAGUUUUUAUCAAAUGAUUUUCAAUUAAUGCAAAUCCAUAUAUAUUUAUAAUUUAUAGUUUAUGUCAUAUAAAUUUGAUUUUAUGCACCGAUUUUGAGGUUACUGUAGGUCCCUGUGGCAGAAAAUAUUAUUUAUCUCCCACUUACCCGUCUCCCCUUCUUUAACACAGAUGCUUGAUUUUGUCUUACCACUUUACAGCUUAAAUAUUACACUUUUCAAGCUCAAUUGCAGCCAGGUGAGUCAUGUGACUGGGUUGGGAAAUUGUAGGUUGGGAAAUUGUAGGUUCUUCCUAGAAGUUUUCUUUAAAGGGAAUGUGCAUGCUCUUUCUUUGUCCCUCUUUAUAAUGUCCUAGAACUCAUGUGUGAUGUCUAGAGCUCUAGCAGCCACAUAAGAUGAUAAGAUGAAGGCCACUGCCAGCUCUAGCAUUGGCAAAGAAGAACUGGAAGGUGCCUGGGUCGCUGAAGAGGCUUCUGCCAACUGGAUACAGAUGAGGAUGCAGCCUUAGAGGACAGCAGACCCACACAGUGGACUGGGGAGAGAGGCCCACCAGUGGAAAGAACUGAGCAGCACACGAAGAGUCAGAGAACAGCCUUUAUUCUUCGACAGCAGGCUCGGCACACCUAGUAUUACAGCACUCUUGGCAUCUUCUGAUCUUCUCCUGCUUCCACCCCUUCUGCUCCUGCUUUUAUACCCUUGAUUGGGAUCCAUACGAUGAGGGGAAAACAUAGGACGCCGUGAGAGACCUGACUGAAGCUGAAGAAGUUCUGCGAUGUGAGCGAUGACUGGGAAUCCACCAGGAACAGAGCGAGCCAGGACAGCAUGUGCGCCGGUCCCGGAUGAGACGAAGCACAGCACGUGUGAGCACCUGAAGCAAGACAGUGAUAUCUCCAUUACCUACUGAAGAAAAACCCUGCAAUGACUGAGUCACCACACCAUGGCUAGCUGACACGUGUUUUCUCCAGUUAUAAGGUUGUGGCCAUACAAUGCUUGGGACAGCUUGGUUACACACAAAAAAAGAUAACAAAUUCAAUGAAGAAACUCAGAAAUGGAAAAACUGACAAAUAGAAUAAACAAGUUUAUCAUAUUUCCAAAGGGAAAAUAUGAAGGGUUUGCCAAGGGGAUUAUAAGAUUUGUUAGUUUCCGGCUCUGUGAAUAUGUAAAAUUGCUCCUAGGAAUUUUGGCCGUUUUCUCGUAGAAUACUGCUAAGUUACGGAGGUAUUGGACAAGUAAACAACAUAUUUACGAACAA